rnacentral:rRNA from 1 species
ACCGGCAAACGGGUGCGGAACACGUACACAACCUUCCUAUAAGUGGGGAAUAGCCCAGAGAAAUUUGGAUUAAUACCCCGUAACAUAACGAUGUGGCAUCACAUUGUUAUUAUAGCUUCGGCGCUUAUUGAUGGGUGUGCGGCUGAUUAGAUAGUUGGCGGGGUAACGGCCCACCAAGUCUACGAUCAGUAGCUGAUGUGAGAGCAUGAUCAGCCACACGGGCACUGAGACACGGGCCAGACUCCUACGGGAGGCAGCAGUAAGGAAUAUUGGUCAAUGGACGCAAGUCUGAACCAGCCAUGCCGCGUGAAGGAUUAAGGUCCUCUGGAUUGUAAACUUCUUUUAUCUGGGACGAAAAAAGGCUUUUCUAAGUCACUUGACGGUACCAGAUGAAUAAGCACCGGCUAACUCCGUGCCAGCAGCCGCGGUAAUACGGAGGGUGCAAGCGUUAUCCGGAUUCACUGGGUUUAAAGGGUGCGUAGGCGGGCAGGUAAGUCAGUGGUGAAAUCCUGGAGCUUAACUCCAGAACUGCCAUUGAUACUAUCUGUCUUGAAUAUUGUGGAGGUAAGCGGAAUAUGUCAUGUAGCGGUGAAAUGCUUAGAUAUGACAUAGAACACCUAUUGCGAAGGCAGCUUACUACGCAUAUAUUGACGCUGAGGCACGAAAGCGUGGGGAUCAAACAGGAUUAGAUACCCUGGUAGUCCACGCCCUAAACGAUGGAUACUCGACAUACGCG